rnacentral:misc_RNA from 1 species
UACAGAGGGUGCGAGCGUUAAUCGGAUUUACUGGGCGUAAAGCGUGCGUAGGCGGGUUUUUAAGUCGGAUGUGAAAUCCCGGAGCUUAACUUGGGAAUUGCAUUGGAUACUGGGUAGCUAGAGUAUGGGAGAGGAUGGUAGAAUUCCAGGUGUAGCGGUGAAAUUCGUAGAGAUCAGGAGGAAUACCGAUGGCGAAGGCAGCCAUCUGGCCUAAUACUGACGCUGAGGUGCGAAAGCGUGGGGAGCAAACAGG